rnacentral:tRNA from 1 species
CAAAUUAGAGCUUGGAAAAGUAUUUCAUUUACAUUGAAAUGAUAUUGAAAAUUCAAUUAAUUUGA